rnacentral:rRNA from 1 species
AGUGGCGGACGGGUGAGUAACGCGUGGGCAACCUGCCCUUAACCGGGGGACAACAGUUGGAAACGGCUGCUAAUACCGCAUAAGCGCACGGAACCGCAUGGUUCAGUGUGAAAAAUUCCGGUGGUUAAGGGAUGGGCCCGCGUUGGAUUAGGUAGUUGGUGCGGUAACGGCGCACCAAGCCGACGAUCCCAUAGCCGACCUGAGAGGGUGACCGGCCACAUUGGGACUGAGACACGGCCCAGACUCCUGCGGGAGGCAGCAGUGGGGAAUAUUGCACAAUGGGGGAAACCCUGAUGCAAGCGACGCCGCGUGAGUGAAGAAGUAUUUCGGUAUGUAAAGCUCUUUCGGCAGGGAAGAAGAUGACGGUACCUGCAGAAGAAGCCCCGGCUAACUACGUGCCAGCAGCCGC